GUUCAGUUUCUAAACCAUUUAAAAUGGUUUAGUGCAGUUUCAGUUCAGUUUAUGGAAAAACUGAACCAUGCACACCCCUAGUCAAAGCCAGAGAGGCGAAGAAUGGUCGCUGGAGUAGUCGAUGCUCGCCGAAAUUGAGAAGAAUAGGGGCUGCUUCGCUGUUCAAUUCGCCAGAAAUCAAGCUGGAGGCAAGGGCUGAGUUAGGGCUACAAGAAAAGGGGAAGGCUAGUGACACUGUUCGAGGCUUCGAGUUCGAGCGUGUCUUCGUCGUCUCGCCGUUGUCGUCUUGCUCUCAGUCGAAGUUAUUGAUUGCAGGCUUAGGGUGAUUAUUUGUUCUGGAACUGUUGUUUCACUGCCUGAGGGGAAAGUAAGUUCUCCCCAUCCUCCAUCGAAGUAAGUUCUCCCCAUCCUCCAUCGGAUUCGUCCUGCUCGUCCCCUCUCGAUGUUGAAUCAGUAGUAAAUCAGUGACUAAAGCAAUUUGAUGACCGGUCCGGUUCUUAGAACCUUCGUAAAAGGAGAGACAAGCUAUGAUAUAAAUUUGCUAAAUUGGGAAACUAAUGUAAGAGACCUGGAGAUGAACAACACCUUACAGCAAGGAUUGUAUGCUACUGGUUAUGUACGACUGGCAGUUGAGUUUAUUUGAUUUGCAAGAAAUUGCAUGGCUCACUGCCAAAUCGUGAUUCCAACUAAUAUUGCCGAUGCUGCGGUGGGUAGUCAUGCCGAAUUCUUAGCGGGAGAGAUUGAGCAUUGUGCCCAGCAUUUUUGUGCGCAACACAUACAAAGUUGGUGGAACGGCGAAUUUUUAGCUUUGAUAUAUGCACUGAAUGAAGGUUUUGACUAAGAUGUUUUGUUCUCUCCUGUCUUGAUCUUCCAAGGCUUUUGAUCGAUACCGCAAGCUCCCUAGUUACAUUGAAUAAAAGCUUUUACCAUUUCAGAGAGAAGGUGUAAGGUUUAUUUUGCAACAUGGAGAACGUGCCCUUUUAGCAGAUGAAAUGGUUGUGAUUGUAGAUGAAUCAUACUAUCUGAAGAAUCUCAGGAAAAGACUGCAACUCUUCGGGUUAUAAAGGUGACAAGCUUCAAAGCUACAAUUACAUGCUUGCUUCUGGUAUACUUGCUUUUAAAAUAUCCAUUUGUCUAUCAAGCAUAGAAAUUUGUGGGAAAAAAUUAGAGAGAAUAAAAAAGUAUUUAAACAAAUAACCCAAAAUAAAAAAGAAGUUUCCAGCACAUGCAAAGGUUCUAGUACUCUAAACCAUCUUCCCUUGCUCUGCAUUCUGCAAAUGGGAGUCUGGUGUCAUAUGUAAAACCUUUUAGAGAGCUAAGAUGAUAUUCUCUUAAUUUUGCUUUUCUUUUAAAUAAAUAAAUAACCAGCUUCAAGCACAUGCAGAAUCGUGCACAAGUACUCAAGUAAUGUGAACUCAUGUUUCCCUCUUCCCAAUGUGAGAGUCCAGUGUCAUGUGUAAAAUAGUUUUAUGUCACCUGCUAGCUGCUGAGUAAGCUUUCUUCAUCUAAUUCUCUCAUGCUUUCUUUCAAUUGAAGUCUAAAAAUGGCAGAAAGCUCAAUAUUCAAUAUUGCUUAGUGGAACUCCUGCCUUAUUCCGACCAAUAGAACUGUUCAAGCAGCUGGAAGCUUUCUAUCCUGAUGUAUAUAAGAAUGUUCAUUAAUAUGGGAGUUUUUAGAGUUUAUCAAGGGGCAAGUAAUCAUGAAGAAUUACACAAUUUGUUGAAGGCCACAGUGAUGACACGAAGGCUUAAAAAAGUUGUUCUUUCUCAACUUCCUGCAAAGUGUAGGCAACAAGUGCGUUCGUUUAUCUCCAUCCCUUCUAUGCAAUCUCUCGUGCACUCUUUUGCUAUUGUUUGUUUCAAUCAAUGAACAUUCACAGGUCUUCUUAGACUUGGAACUUGGAACUUCCUUUUUUUUGGUUGAUCCUCAGGUCUUCUUAGACUUAGCUGACAACUGACAAGGACAUGAAGCAAAUUAACGCUUUAUUCCGUGAGGUUCAUUUGCAGUCUUGAACCUGGCCCCUCUCGUACUACUUAUCCCCAAAAAUUUCUGUGCCCCUUCUGGGUCUCGGCAGCAGCAACUACACCAAUUGCCUUGCGCAUGAUGAGUAUGUGGAGGUACCACUUGUUACCACACCUUUGGAGAAGGUGUUUGCCAUUUUGGUUAACUACCAGAAUGGCCGUGUCGCGUUAUAUCAAUAUCUUGAUGUGUUUUUUGAGGGUAGUCAACCCAGCAUGGAACUAUUGGAUUCCGGAUCCAAAUCGGUGCUGUUCUUCUCAGUUUUCACACUGUUGGUGUGGAAGGACUUUGCAGCAUUGCAACUUGACAGUGGGGCUCCUCCCAUGGAGCGAGAUUUCUUGCAAGUAACUGUCCAUAGGAAGUGUGUCUACACCAUGGAGAACCGGAAGCUUGCUAAUUAUAUGCGCGCCUUUGUUUGGCCACCUACUAAGGGUGGAAGAUUUCAGCAUAUGACAGAUAUAUGAUAGCAACAUUUCUUGUUAUUUACUGUGGCUUUUUAUCCUUUUUAAUAGGAUUAUGAAUGAACAAUGAAUUAAAUAUAAUGUCUUUGAGGAUUAUGAUCUUGCUUGAAUUAUGUCUAUAUUCUCUUUAGCCCGAAA